CUCUGAAUGUACUAAUAAUAUACAGAAAGAUGUAUUGCAAUGCAAAUAUGUGCAUUCACUGUUAAAAGUUUUUGAAAUGGCUGCCGCUUAGUGGCAAUGGGGGGAAGGGUGACAUCCGCUAUUGCUUGCAAUGGCAAUUCUAGUUAUUUUUAUUCUUCCACACAUUUUGUCCCUACUAUUUCUCUGGAUUGGUCAGACCCAUGUUGAUGGAACUAUACCAUAAUAUGAACCGCCAUGUGAAGUAGUGCAAGAGACAUUGGAAUGGUAAAAAAUGGCCGCCGUUGCCAUGGAAACUGAUUAAAUGUGAAAAAA
rnacentral:lncRNA from 1 species